UGGGGAAUCUUCCACAAUGGACGAAAGUCUGAUGGAGCAACGCCGCGUGAGUGAAGAAGGGUUUCGGCUCGUAAAACUCUGUUGUUAAAGAAGAACAUAUCUGAGAGUAACUGUUCAGGUAUUGACGGUAUUUAACCAGAAAGCCACGGCUAACUACGUGCCGG
rnacentral:rRNA from 1 species